AGUCGAGCAGGGACGAAAGUCGGGCUUAGUGAUCCGGUGGUUCCGCAUGGAAGGGCCAUCGCUCAACGGAUAAAAGCUACCCCGGGGAUAACAGGCUUAUCUCCCCCAAGAGUCCACAUCGACGGGGAGGUUUGGCACCUCGAUGUCGGCUCAUCGCAUCCUGGGGCUGUAGUCGGUCCCAAGGGUUGGGCUGUUCGCCCAUUAAAGCGGUACGCGAGCUGGGUUCAGAACGUCGUGAGACAGUUCGGUCCCUAUCCGUCGCGGGCGCAGGAAAUUUGAGAGGAGCUGUCCUUAGUACGAGAGGACCGGGAUGGACGCACCGCUGGUGUACCAGUUGUUCUGCCAAGGGCAUCGCUGGGUAGCUAUGUGC
rnacentral:rRNA from 1 species